ensembl:lncRNA
AUGCAGCCACAAUGGCAAUUUAUGUCAUGUCAGAGCUGUGGACUGCUGGCAAUUGAACACUGCCAUCUAGAAGAAAAGCAUUGUCUGCAACUGCUAGCAAGGGCUCUGCCAGGUUUGCAACGCCUAGGCCAGAGGAGGCUGGAGGAAAAUGGGCACCCCUCGUGGAAAGACAGCAGACACUGUGACAGCAAAUAUGUGACCCAGAACCAGAGAGCUCACAUGAGGGAUGAAGAGCUGCAGGAAUGGCUGGCUUCAGUCGAUACCUGCCCCUUAUUACACACUAAUUAAUCCCACUGUGAGCCCUGUUGCUUUGCUGCCCAUACUGUGACGGAGCAGCUCGGGUCUUGUCCCUGUGCCCAGGUACCAUCAUGGAAUGGGAUGGUUCCAGCAUGUUUUAGACAAUAUUAAAACGUCUUGACUGAAAAUCUGGUGAAUUGAAUCUCAACCAGUGAGUAGUCACUGUUCAGGUGCAGUUACCUGCCCACGGACACCUUCAGUUCUAGAUUAUAACGUUGUGCAAGAUUGUCCCGGGUAUUACUCUGCCAAUACAAAGGAUAAGCUGUGUUUCUUCAUCUGGGUGCCCUUCGACACCCCCACAGUGCUGCUAAUUCCAAAUAGCUCAACAACUGCAAUUGGCCCUUUAGCUGCUUCAAGAAGAUCCUCAGCCCUCCUGCAAGUGGUAGUCUUGUCCCUGUGAUUUCUCUGUUUCUACACAGAGAUAAAAAUCAAUGAUGGGACACACAGAGCCUUCUUCCUUCCCCUUGCAAAGGGAGAUUUGUCGUUAAGGAAAGAGUGCAGCGGCAGUCCCGCAGGAGUAAGGACCUGGAGAAGCUGUGCUACCCCCAGGUCCCAGUGCAGUGGUCCCUCUCAUCUGUCCACUUCCAUGCCUCCACCCCUGUAAAACCAGUCCUCAAAACGUGGGUGUGUGUUGCAGGACAGAGAGAUUGCAAUGUGAAAAAACCCAGAAGCUUUAAGCAGGAGAAGGAGAAUGAAUUACAGGGCUGGGGAGGGAAAGGAAACCCAGAAGAGCAGCAGUUGAUUCACACAUAAAUCAGCAGAAUCUGCUAUUACCCAGCCAGAUUACUGAGUUAUCCAUCCUGAACCUGAACAGCUUCCAAAUGCUACACUGCAGAUUCAGCUUAUCUAAUUCAAUGCAUUUCAGAGGCUUCGCUGCUCUGUAUGCCUCUCCUCUCUCUGCAAAAAUAUAGGAAAAAGCAGCAGCUCCCAUUCACACCACAGCUCCUGAAUCUGUUGUGCUUGGGAGUGCUCUGUAACCACAGGGUGCCGCUUUCCCAAUAGAUGCUGAUUUCAAAAAGAAUAGCUGAGAUUAUUAUUAAAAGCAGGGUACUGGUCCCCUCUUUGAGACUUUGCUGCAGAUGUCACGCAUAACCAUAGUUAUUUCUGGUUGAGUACAGCUCCAUGUCUUCUAAAGCCAGGCAGCAGUCCCUGAAGGCAGGCUGUGUCAUUCCUAGAGACUGACUUAGCUCACCUCAAAUACACCCACCCCGCAGGAGAAGACUUGAUCUGAACAGCUCUAGUCAACAUAGGUCACGAUGGCUGGUACAGAUUCCAUAGAGGCAUUACAGUGCGAGUCAGCGCUCCCACCCGCCUUGGGCCAUGCUUGGGAGUGUGCUGGAGUGAGAUCCCAUGCUCCGUGAGGAAUGCAGGACAAUUCUGCUGUGCAGUCCUUUCCCCAGGGUAUGAAGGGCUCUGGCAGAUCGCUGUCUUGCAUUAGCUGGCCCAGCCUGUGUGUCAUACCAUAGCUUGCUCCUUGCAAUAUCUCCAGCAAACCUGUGCAUGUCCCCUGAACAUCUCCACCAUGGUGACCCACACAAAGCUCCUAUUUUGCACUUCUGCAUCGCCCCAUCACAGCCCUCCAGAAGCUGUGCUGGUACACUGUCAUCUGAGGAAAGAAAUAUUCCACGAUUAUGUCCUGCCAGGGAAAGAAGUGUAGUCUUUAAAAAUAAAAGUGGAUUUAUUACAUGAGAAAAAUCUAGA